rnacentral:rRNA from 1 species
GGGUCAGCAGGUUGGUCGUGCCACCGGUACGUACUGGUCUCACUGAUUCCUCCUUCCUGAAGAACCGUAAUGCCAUUAAUUUGGUGUUGCGAGGAAACAGGACUGUUACUUUGAAAAAAUUAGAGUGUUUAAAGCAAGCUAACGCUUGAAUACAUUAGCAUGGAAUAAUGAAAUAGGACGAUCGAUCCUAUUUUGUUGGUUUCUAGGAUUGACGUA